ACGUAAAGAAAGUCAAGGAUUGUGCUGUCUUCAUAUUUUGAAAGUUACAAACACAAGUUAUCAUUUUGAACUCUAGAACAAACACAUAAAAUUUACUUUUAAAUGGUUUCAUAAAAAUAGUGUAAUUUACUAAAGAUUUGUGCCAACAAGGUAGUACUCAUUUCAUGUAUAUUCAGUACGAGUAUUCAAAAUGAUAUUCUGUAUUGAAUCAUAGUUAUAAUUAGGACUUGUUUUAACGAUUGCUGAUAAGUCUCGGAAAGUUAUCUGACUGAUAAAAUCACUAUAUGUAGGUAUAAUAGUUUUUUUUUUGUUUCAUUGUUAAUUACUGUCUUUACCUGUUAAUCUAAGACAAGAGUUUAUUAGUUGCAGUGAAACGGACCAUAAAGCUCUGUUUUACUUUCUGCGGAUAGAGUCCUGAUAGCUUAUCAGUUACUUUGUACAACAAUCGGUGAAGCGGGCUCUUAUUGUAGUAAAAUUUCUUAUGAUAUUAUAAUAAGCUUUGAAAUUUUGACCACGUGUUUAUUACUUGGCUAUAUAACGUAGGUAUA